UUUUUUUUCAAAUUCCGGAUUUUUUCCCGGUUCCUUACUGUUAAAAUUUGAAUACUAAUCGCGCCUUACUGAUUUGUUUUCAUUGACAACUGGUUCCGGGUUAAAGAUGGCGUCCAAUUUGGCCCUGGGUCAAAGAUGGCCUCCAAUUGUCAAAUUUCAAUGUUCUCAUCUAUCAAUUGGGGAAAAAGAAAUGCAGAUGACAAUGAUGAUAAAGAAAAUACCAGACCAAAUAAGUUAAAUAAAAUUGAUAGUAAUGUUGAAGUUGUGGAAAUUGAACAAAAAUCAACCAAACAACAGAAAAGACACUCAAGUGAAGACAAAUAUGAGCAAGACUUCAUAUUGGAAAGAGGAUUUAGAACCAUGGCUAGAACUUAAGUCUGUUGUUGUUAAAUCCAUGCUGAUGCGUAAAGUUGUAAAUGAAAGAAGAGAGAAAAGAGAUUAAUUGUUGAAAAAAAUCAAAUCAAAGAAUAUUUGACAAUUAAUAUGACUACUUCUAUUUAUGUUUGUUCAACUCCAUUAAAUGUGAAUAUUAUACUAAUCUUUAUUUUUGUGACCCCAACGUGCACCCACAGUAAA
rnacentral:lncRNA from 1 species